rnacentral:misc_RNA from 1 species
UGGAAGUGUCUGAAUAUUUCGUUGAAAUUCUAGAGUUUUUAGGAUAAAUUUAACAGUUUCUUACAUAUGUUUAAUGUCAAUGGCAGAUUCCUCAGUAGUAAAAAGAAACAUUCUCUCAUACUCGCUGUUCCGUUCGUUUACGCUCGCUGGUCCAUAUGGAAGACCGAUCUACCAGAUUGAUAUAGACUGUAUAUGUAUUUAUCCACAGAAGCAAGAUUUUAGUGAUUUUUUUACUUCUUUUAUUGAUUUUUUCUUCUUUUCAUUUGAC